GACGAACGCUGGCGGCGUGCCUAAUACAUGCAAGUCGAGCGAAGUUUUUCUGGUGCUUGCACUAGAAAAACUUAGCGGCGAACGGGUGAGUAACACGUAAAGAACCUGCCUCAUAGACUGGGACAACUAUUGGAAACGAUAGCUAAUACCGGAUAACAGUAUUUCUCGCAUGAGAGAUAUUUAAAAGUUGGUUAUGCUGAUACUAUGAGAUGGCUUUGCGGUGCAUUAGCUAGUUGGUGGGGUAAAGGCCCACCAAGGCGACGAUGCAUAGCCGACCUGAGAGGGUGAUCGGCCACACUGGGACUGGGACACGGCCCAGACUCCUACGGGAGGCAGCAGUAGGGAAUCUUCCGCAAUGGGCGAAAGCCUGACGGAGCAACGCCGCGUGAGUGAAGAAGGAUUUCGGUUCGUAAAGCUCUGUUGUUAGGGAAGAAUGGAUAUGUAGUAACUAUACAUAUAAGAGACG
rnacentral:rRNA from 1 species